rnacentral:rRNA from 1 species
AUACGUAGGGUGCGAGCGUUGUCCGGAAUUACUGGGCGUAAAGAGCUCGUAGGUGGUGUGUCGCGUCGUCUGUGAAAUUCCGGGGCUUGACUCCGGGCGUGCAGGCGAUACGGGCAUAACUUGAGUACUGUAGGGGAGACUGGAAUUCCUGGUGUAGCGUGGAAAUGCGCAGAUAUCGGGAGGAACACCGGUGGCGAAGGGGGGUCUCUGGGCAUUAACUGACGCUGAGGAGCGAAAGCAUGGGUAGCGAACAGGAUUAGAUACCCUGGUGGUCCAUGCCGUAAACGGUGGGCGCUAGGUGUAGGGGUCUUCCACGACUUCUGUGCCGUAGCUAACGCAUUAAGCGCCCCGCCUGGGGAGUACGGCCGCAAGGCUAAAACUCAAAGGAAUUGACGGGG